CCCUUAGAUGUUCUGGGCCGCACACGCGCUACACUGAAGGAGGCAGCGUGUACUCCUGGAUCGAAAGAUUUGGGUAACCCGCGAAUCUCCUUCGUGCUAGGGAUUGAGGUUUGCAAUUAUCCUUCAUGAACGAGGAAUUCCCAGUAAACGCAAGUCAUCAGCUUGCAUUGAUUACGUCCCUGCCCUUUGUACACACCGCCCGUCGCACCUACCGAUUGAAUGACCCGGUGAAAUCUUCGGAUCGUCGUAUUGCCCGAUUCAUUUCGGGCGAUGUGACGCAAAGUUGAUUAAACCUUGCCAUUUAGAGGAAGGUGAANUCGUAACA
rnacentral:rRNA from 1 species